rnacentral:rRNA from 1 species
UAAUUGAAGAGUUUGAUCAUGGCUCAGAUUGAACGCUGGCGGCAGGCCUAACACAUGCAAGUCGAGCGGCAGCGACAACAUUGAACCUUCGGGGGAUUUGUUGGGCGGCGAGCGGCGGACGGGUGAGUAAUGCCUGGGAAAUUGCCCUGAUGUGGGGGAUAACCAUUGGAAACGAUGGCUAAUACCGCAUGAUAGCUUCGGCUCAAAGAGGGGGACCUUCGGGCCUCUCGCGUCAGGAUAUGCCCAGGUGGGAUUAGCUAGUUGGUGAGGUAAGGGCUCACCAAGGCGACGAUCCCUAGCUGGUCUGAGAGGAUGAUCAGCCACACUGGAACUGAGACACGGUCCAGACUCCUACGGGAGGCAGCAGUGGGGAAUAUUGCACAAUGGGCGCAAGCCUGAUGCAGCCAUGCCGCGUGUAUGAAGAAGGCCUUCGGGUUGUAAAGUACUUUCAGCAGUGAGGAAGGAGGUAUCGUUAAUAGCGGUAUCUUUUGACGUUAGCUGCAGAAGAAGCACCGGCUAACUCCGUGCCAGCAGCCGCGGUAAUACGGAGGGUGCGAGCGUUAAUCGGAAUUACUGGGCGUAAAGCGCAUGCAGGUGGUUUGUUAAGUCAGAUGUGAAAGCCCGGGGCUCAACCUCGGAAUUGCAUUUGAAACUGGCAGGCUAGAGUACUGUAGAGGGGGGUAGAAUUUCAGGUGUAGCGGUGAAAUGCGUAGAGAUCUGAAGGAAUACCGGUGGCGAAGGCGGCCCCCUGGACAGAUACUGACACUCAGAUGCGAAAGCGUGGGGAGCAAACAGGAUUAGAUACCCUGGUAGUCCACGCCGUAAACGAUGUCUACUUGGAGGUUGUGGCCUUGAGCCGUGGCUUUCGGAGCUAACGCGUUAAGUAGACCGCCUGGGGAGUACGGUCGCAAGAUUAAAACUCAAAUGAAUUGACGGGGGCCCGCACAAGCGGUGGAGCAUGUGGUUUAAUUCGAUGCAACGCGAAGAACCUUACCUACUCUUGACAUCCAGAGAACUUAGCAGA